AACGAACGCUGGCGGCGUGUUUAAGACAUGCAAGUCGCACGGUGUCAUUUUGGUAACAAUACUUGGAUGGCACAGUGGCGCACGGGUGAGUAGCACGUGAAUGACAUGCCCUUCAGAGGGGGAUAGCCCAGGGAAACUUGGAUUAAUACCCCAUGGUCUCGCAAGAGUAAAGGUGGCCGCAAGGCUGUCGCUGGAGGAUUGGUUCGCGUUCUAUCAGCUUGUUGGCGGGGUAACGGCCCACCAAGGCUACGACGGAUACCUGGUCUGAGAGGACGAUCAGGCACACUGGAACUGAGACACGGUCCAGACACCUACGGGUGGCAGCAGUCGAGAAUAAUUCACAAUGGGGGCAACCCUGAUGGUGCAACGCCGCGUGGAGGAUGAAGGUCUUCGGAUUGUAAGCUCCUGUCAUCCGGGAGCAAGACCUGACGGUGAAUAGCCGGCAGGGUUGAUAGUACCGGAAGAGGAAGGGACGGCUAACUUCGUGCCAGCAGCCGCGGUAAUAC
rnacentral:rRNA from 1 species